UACGGAGGAUGCAAGCGUUAUCCGGAAUGAUUGGGCGUAAAGCGUCCGCAGGUGGCUGUGUAAGUCUGCUGUCAAAGAGCGAAGCUCAACUUCGUAAAGGCAGUGGAAACUACCAAGCUAGAGUACGGUAGGGGCAGAGGGAAUUUCCGGUGGAGCGAUGAAAUGCGUAGAGAUCGGAAGGAACACCCAAGGCGAAAGCACUCUGCUGGGCCGACACUGACACUGAGAGACGAAAGCUAGGGGAGCAAAUGGG
rnacentral:rRNA from 1 species